rnacentral:rRNA from 1 species
UACGUAGGGUGCGAGCGUUGUCCGGAAUUAUUGGGCGUAAAGAGCUCGUAGGCGGUUUGUUGCGUCGGUCGUGAAAACCUGGGGCUUAACCCUGGGCCUGCGAUCGAUACGGGCAGACUUGAGUUCGGUAGGGGAGACUGGAAUUCCUGGUGUAGCGGUGAAAUGGCGCAGAUAUCAGGAGGAACACCGGUGGCGAAGGCGGCCUUCUGGUCGGAUACUGACGCUAAACGCGAAAGCGUGGG